UCGACGGAGCUUAUAUUUCAGAAGUUUUCGGAUGGACGAGAGAUAAGUUUAGUGGCGGACGGGUGAGUAACACGUGAGCAACCUGCCUUUCAGAGGGGGAUAACAGUUGGAAACGACUGCUAAUACCGCAUAACGCUGCGAUGGGGCAUCCCGAUGCAGCCAAAGGAGCAAUCCGCUGAAAGAUGGGCUCGCGGCCGAUUAGCUAGUUGGUGGGGCAACGGCCCACCAAGGCGACGAUCGGUAGCCGGACUGAGAGGUUGAUCGGCCACAUUGGGACUGAGACACGGCCCAGACCCCUACGGGAGGCAGCAGUGGGGGAUAUUGCACAAUGGAGGAAACUCUGAUGCAGCGACGCCGCGUGAGGGAAGACGGUCUUCGGAUUGUAAACCUCUGUCUUUGGGGAAGAAAAUGACGGUACCCAAAGAGGAAGCUCCGGCUAACUACGUGCCAGCAGCCGCGGUAAUACGUAGGGAGCGAGCGUUGUCCGGAAUUACUGGGUGUAAAGGGAGCGUAGGCGGGCGAGAAAGUUGAAUGUUAAAUCUACCGGCUUAACUGGUAGCUGCGUUCAAAACUUCUUGUCUUGAGUGAAGUAGAGGCAGGCGGAAUUCCUAGUGUAGCGGUGAAAUGCGUAGAUAUUAGGAGGAACACCAGUGGCGAAGGCGGCCUGCUGGGCUUUAACUGACGCUGAGGCUCGAAAGCGUGGGGAGCAAACAGGAUUAGAUACCCUGGUAGUCCACGCUGUAAACGAUGAUUACUAGGUGUGGGGGGACUGACCCCUUCCGUGCCGCAGUUAACACAAUAAGUAAUCCACCUGGGGAG
rnacentral:rRNA from 1 species